GUUCUGCGCCGAGAGUCCCACAGAUGUGGAUUUCCUCCUCCGUCCUGAUGGGGUUCGGUGUCUUACUGGGACCAUGUGCCUCGCGGUGUUGGAAUUUCAGAAGCAAACACUCUCAGACACACAGCAGGCAAAGGUUUUGCCCGAAGAAAGAGAACUAGGUGGACAGAGGAAACAUUCUAGAGACCUUUGGAGAACACGAAGUCUUCAUCAUACACAGAGAAAUCUCCAACAAUGCUUCCCUCAGGACUCCAAAGUAAAGGCCAGGAACCCACCACGUGAAGACCAGGUACAAAAACAACAGAGCCCAGUGACUGUGGAUUGAAAACCCCAGCUCU